rnacentral:tRNA from 1 species
GGGGUUAUAGCUCAGUGGUAGAGCGCUUGCUUCACAUGUACAAGGCACUGGGUUCAAUCCUCAGCCCCA